GGGUUAGCUAUGAAGGGGAAGAAGCUUCUAACUUUAAUCCCAGGCGGUUUAAUUCCGUCUCUAUCCCU
rnacentral:tRNA from 1 species